rnacentral:lncRNA from 1 species
UUCGUGAUAAGUGUUUGAAAGUACUAAUCUCAUACCUAGUAUGGGAUGAGGAAGCCUAGUACUUGAUUGAACUUGGAUGUGAGCUGUUCGAUCCACUCUCUUUGGAAUAGAGUUUCCCCUGCGUCCGCUUGUGGUGGCAAAUGUGGUCACAGAACGGCAAAGGCCGGGUCUGUGGAACAUUGCACCAAGAGAAGUGGGCCCGACACAGGUCAGAGGAUUGAUGGGAACGGCCGACACAGGAAGCGACCCUCAGUGGUGCGCGGAUGUCGUGAGAUUAGGUUUACCAUGCAUGGUUAAGAAACCC